GAUGAACGCUGGCGGCGUGCUUAACACAUGCAAGUCGAACGGGAAACCUUUUAUUGAAGCUUCCGCAGAUUUAGCUGGUUUCUAGUGGCGGACGGUUGAGUAACUCGUUGGUAACCUGCGCUAUACAGGGGGAUAACAACCAGAAAUGGUUGCUAAUACCGCAUAAGCGCACAGGGCCGCAUGGUCCGGUGUGAAAACCUCCGGUGGUCUAGGAUGGACCCGCGUUGGAUUAGCCAGUUGGCAGGGUAACGGGCUCCCAAAGCGACGAUCCAUAGACGGCAUGAGAGGGUGGACGGCCACAUUGGGGCUGAGACACGGCCGAGACUCCUACGGGAGGCAGGAGUGGGGAAUAUUGCACAAUGGGGGGAACCCUGAUGCAGCGACGACGCGUGAAGGAAGAAGUAUCUCGGUAUGUAAACUUCUAUCAGCAGGGAACAUAGUGACGGUACCUGACUAAGAAGCCCCGGCUAACUACGUG
rnacentral:rRNA from 1 species